rnacentral:rRNA from 1 species
ACACCGGCAGCUCAAGUGGUAGCCGCUUUUAUUGGGCCUAAAGCGUCCGUAGCCGGUCUGAUAAGUCUCUGGUGAAAUCCCACAGCUUAACUGUGGGAAUUGCUGGAGAUACUAUCAUGACUCGAGGUCGGGAGAGGCUGGAGGUACUCCCAGGGUAGGGGUGAAAUCCUGUAAUCCUGGGAGGACCACCUGUGGCGAAGGCGUCCAGCUGGAACGAACCUGACGGUGAGGGACGAAAGCCAGGGGCGCGAACCGGAUUAGAUACCCGGGUAGUCCUGGCCGUAAACGAUGUGGACUUGGUGUUGGGAUGGCUUCGAGCUGCCCCAGUGCCGAAGGGAAGCUGUUAAGUCCACCGCCUGGGAAGUACGGUCGCAAGACUGAAACUUAAAGGAAUUGGCGGGG